rnacentral:lncRNA from 1 species
UAAUAAUCAGAACAAAUUCAAUAGGUCUUUCCACGGAAAGGUGGAAAGACCUAAUAAUAAUCAGAACAAAACCUAUAGGUCUUUCCACGGAAAGGUGGAAAGACCUAAUAAUCCGAACAAAUACAAUAGGUCUUUCACAGAAAGGUUGAAAGACCUAAUUAAAAACAAUUGUUCAAAGAACAAUUGAAGGUCUUUCCACAAGUAAAGAUCUAUUUUUAUUAUCAAAAUAUUAAAAAUCAAUCUAAAAUGUCAGUUCCUAUGACUUUAUAAUGUAUAAAUAUGAAUUUAAAGCAAAGGUCAAAAUCUAGAACGUCCUAUUAACCUUUGACCUUGACCUCAAUUUCAAGGUCACCAACCAAGGACCUCAAAUAAAAAGACCCUAGGUCUGUAAUAUGUAUGGUUAAUGAGUUAUAUCACUUUAGGCAUGAUUUUAAAUAUAAGAUGGGCGAAAACUCUCAUUUAUUGUUUACGCACCCUUCCAACCAAAAUUUAUAAGUUACAACAUGUCGCAACUCACAAUUUAGUAAAAAAAAAUUUGUCAAUAUCUUUCACGGUUGUUGAAAAUAUAGUGAAAAAUAAGCCAAAAUCAAAAUUUAGAAUAUGACCUUGACCUUUGACCUUGACCUUAUUUUCAUUUUUUUGGACCAAGGAACUUAAAUCCAAAGACCCUAGGCCUAUAUCACUGAUGGUUUACCAGUUAGAAACGCAUAUCACUUAUAUCAAAUGCAUAAGGGGAAAUAACUCUCAUAUGGAGUCUCCGGAUAACUUCAGUCCAAAUGAAUAUCCUAAUCCUGAAGAAGUAACGAGCAAUUUGGUAAAAUAAAUUUGUCGUAAUCUUUUACGGUUGCGAAGGAGUAGUGGCCACAAGAAAAACAGUGUUUGGGGAGAUAACUCUUACAACGUAAAGUAUUUUGUUACGCAGUUGUAAAUUUUUAAAGCGUAUAAACUAUACGACAUCAUAUUCCAAAUAUCUAAGCGACAUCUUUUGAAACAUCAAUACUACGCAAGAAAAAAAUUAGGCGAAGAAAAAAAAAAAAAAAAAAAAUAAUAAUAAUAAUCAGAACAAAUUCAAUAGGUCUUUCCACGGAAAG